GACGAACGCUGGCGGCGUGCUUAACACAUGCAAGUCGUACGGUAAGGCCCUUUCGGGGGUACACGAGUGGCGAACGGGUGAGUAACACGUGAGUAACCUGCCCACAACUUUGGGAUAACGCUAGGAAACUGGUGCUAAUACUGGAUAUGUGCUCCUGCUGCAUGGUGGGGGUUGGAAAGCUCCGGCGGUUGUGGAUGGACUCGCGGCCUAUCAGCUUGUUGGUGGGGUAGUGGCCUACCAAGGCGGCGACGGGUAGCCGGCCUGAGAGGGUGACCGGCCACAUUGGGACUGAGAUACGGCCCAGACUCCUACGGGAGGCAGCGGUGGGGAAUAUUGCACAAUGGGCGCAAGCCUGAUGCAGCAACGCCGCGUGCGGGAUGACGGCCUUCGGGUUGUAAACCGCUUUCAGCAGGGAGGAAGCUUUUUGUGACGGUACCUGCAGAAGAAGCACCGGCUAACUACGUG
rnacentral:rRNA from 1 species